AGCAGCCGCGGUAAUUCCAGCUCCAAUAGCGUAUAUUAAAGUUGUUGCAGUUAAAAAGCUCGUAGUUGAAUUUCGGGAUUGGCGCAUCGGUCGUGCCUUACGGGGUAUGAACUGGUGCAGUCAAUUUCUCACCUUCUGGAGAACCGCGAUGUCCUUAAUUGGGUGCCGCGGGGAACCAGGACCUUUACUUUGAAAAAAUUAGAGUGUUUAAAGCAGGCAUUUUUGCUUGAAUACAUUAGCAUGGAAUAAUAAAAUAGGACGGCAUGGUUCUAUUUUGUUGGUUUCUAGGACCACCGUAAUGAUUAAUAGGGAUAGUUGGGGGCAUUAGUAUUCAAUUGUCAGAGGUGAAAUUCUUGGAUUUAUUGAAGACUAACUACUGCGAAAGCAUUUGCCAAGGAUGUUUUCAUUAAUCAAGAACGAAAGUUAGGGGAUCGAAGACGAUCAGAUACCGUCGUAGUCUUAACCAUAAACUAUGCCGACUAGGAAUCAGACGAUGUUAAUUUUUAAUGUAACUCGUUUG
rnacentral:rRNA from 1 species